rfam:Salmo salar isolate Sally breed double haploid chromosome ssa29, whole genome shotgun sequence.
UGCAUGAAUGGAUGUAAGUCGCUUUGGAUAAAAGUUUCUGCUAAAUGGCAUAUA